AAAUACAUGCAAGUCGAGCGAACAGAUGAGAAGCUUGCUUCUCUGAUGUUAGCGGCGGACGGGUGAGUAACACGUGGGUAACCUACCUAUAAGACUGGGAUAACUCCGGGAAACCGGGGCUAAUACCGGAUAAUAUUUUGAACCGCAUGGUUCAAUAGUGAAAGACGGUUUCGGCUGUCACUUAUAGAUGGACCCGCGCCGUAUUAGCUAGUUGGUAAGGUAACGGCUUACCAAGGCGACGAUACGUAGCCGACCUGAGAGGGUGAUCGGCCACACUGGAACUGAGACACGGUCCAGACUCCUACGGGAGGCAGCAGUAGGGAAUCUUCCGCAAUGGGCGAAAGCCUGACGGAGCAACGCCGCGUGAGUGAUGAAGGUCUUCGGAUCGUAAAACUCUGUUGUUAGGGAAGAACAAAUUUGUUAGUAACUGAACAAGUCUUGACGGUACCUAACCAGAAAGCCACGGCUAACUACGUGCCAGCAGCCGCGGUAAUACGUAGGUGGCAAGCGUUAUCCGGAAUUAUUGGGCGUAAAGCGCGCGUAGGCGGUUUCUUAAGUCUGAUGUGAAAGCCCACGGCUCAACCGUGGAGGGUCAUUGGAAACUGGGAAACUUGAGUGCAGAAGAGGAGAGUGGAAUUCCAUGUGUAGCGGUGAAAUGCGCAGAGAUAUGGAGGAACACCAGUGGCGAAGGCGGCUCUCUGGUCUGUAACUGACGCUGAUGUGCGAAAGCGUGGGGAUCAAACAGGAUUAGAUACCCUGGUAGUCCACGCCGUAAACGAUGAGUGCUAAGUGUUAGGGGGUUUCCGCCCCUUAGUGCUGCAGCUAACGCAUUAAGCACUCCGCCUGGGGAGUACGACCGCAAGGUUGAAACUCAAAGGAAUUGACGGGGACCCGCACAAGCGGUGGAGCAUGUGGUUUAAUUCGAAGCAACGCGAAGAACCUUACCAAAUCUUGACAUCCUUUGACCGCUCUAGAGAUAGAGUCUUCCCCUUCGGGGGACAAAGUGACAGGUGGUGCAUGGUUGUCGUCAGCUCGUGUCGUGAGAUGUUGGGUUAAGUCCCGCAACGAGCGCAACCCUUAAGCUUAGUUGCCAUCAUUAAGUUGGGCACUCUAGGUUGACUGCCGGUGACAACCGGAGAAAGGUGGGGAUGACGUCAAAUCAUCAUGCCCCUUAUGAUUUGGGCUACACACGUGCUACAAUGGAUAAUACAAAGGGCAGCGAAUCCGCGAGGCCAAGCAAAUCCCAUAAAAUUAUUCUCAGUUCGGAUUGUAGUCUGCAACUCGACUACAUGAAGCUGGAAUCGCUAGUAAUCGUAGAUCAGCAUGCUACGGUGAAUACGUUCCCGGGUCUUGUACACACCGCCCGUCACACCACGAGAGUUUGUAACACCCGAAGCCGGUGGAGUAACCUUUUAGGAGCUAGCCGUCGCUUUU
rnacentral:rRNA from 1 species